AAUAUUUAGAAAAGAAAAAAAAAAUCUUACACAAUCAAUUUUAUAUACAUCUUAUAUAAUAAAUAAAGGUUUCUCCUAUUCAAGAGCUACGAGAAGCUGACACGUGACAUCUCUCCUUGUGACAUGUGUCCUCUCUCAACUUAAAUACACUAUU
rnacentral:sRNA from 1 species